CGCGCCCGGCGUGUGACGUCACGAAGGCUCGGCGGUGCGCGGGCUGGGUUCCAUGGCAGAGCAGGAGAGGCCACGGCAGCUUCUGAGUCUGGUCCAGGAGGAAAACCUGGAUCUCCUACAGGAUUUGUGGAUUUCCUGAGGGAAAAAUUCCCAUUUUUCUGCUGGGUUCCAUGGUGGAGCGGGAGAGACUGCAGCAGCUCCUGAGGCUGGUCCAUGAGGGAAACCUGGAUGUGCUGUGGGAUUUGUGGAUUUCCUGAGGGAAAAUUCCCAUUUUUCUGGAAGGAAACACCAGGCUUUGCUUUUCCUGAGGCCGGGUUCCAUGGUAGAGCAGGAGAGGCCACGGCGGCUCCUGAGGCUGGUCCAGGAGGGAAACCUGGAUCUCCUACAGGAUGAGCUGAGGCUGGAUGAGCUUCCAGAGGCUCCCUGCUGGCGCUGGGGACGUUUGGGAGACUCCCUGCUGCACCAUGCAGCUCGCUCAGGACACCAGGAUGUGCUGCAAUUCCUGGUGCAGGAGCUGGGCAUGGACAUGGAGAUGGCCAAUGGGGACUACAAGAGGCCCAUCCAUGAGGCUGCUUCCAUGGGACACCAGGAAUGUGUGGCCUUCCUGCUGGAGAGGGGGGCGAGCGUGGACUGCUUGAAAAAAGGUGACUGGACUCCCCUGAUGAUGGCUUGCACCAGGAAAAACUUGGAAGUGAUCAAAACUCUGGUGGAGCAUGGAGCCAAUCCCUUGUUGAGGAAUAAGGAUGGCUGGAAUUGUUUCCACAUUGCCAGCAGGGAAGGACAUCCUGAGGUGCUCCAGUACCUCCUGGAUGUGUCCCCAAACUGCUGGGACACAGAGAGCACCACUGGGAGAACUCCUCUGCACACAGCAGCAAUGCACGGCUGUUCCCAGGUUGUGGAGCUGCUCCUGGAACGGUGCCAGUACAAAGCUGACAGCAGAGACAGCUGUGGGGUCACUCCCUUCAUGGAUGCUCUCCAGAAUGGGCACAUUGGAAUUGCCCAGCUGCUCCUGGAGAAACACCAGGCCUGUCCCACAGCUGUGGAUGCCCUGGGUGCUCAGGCCCUGCACAGGGCAGCUGUGACAGCCCAGGAUGGCUCCAUCCAGUUCCUGGUGUCCCAGCUGGGUGUGGAUGUCAACAGGAGAGCGACGUCCCUGCAGCUGCCAGCCCUGCACUAUGCAGCCAAGGAAGGACAUGGACACACCAUCCAGACCCUGCUGUCCCUCGGUGCUGACAUCCAGGCUAAGGAUGGGAAGGGCCGUUCUGGAUGGGCCAAGGCCAGGAGGUGACCCCAGCUCUGCUGUGUGUGUGUCCCCAGCCCUGCACGUGGCCAGCGCCGGGCAGCACGUGGUGGCCACUCAGAUCCUGCUCCAGGCUGGGCUCCAGGACACUCCAGAUGCCACAGGAAUGCUGGCACAGCAGCUGGCCAGGAGGCCAGAACUCAUCCAGCUCUUCCAGGGAACACAAGGCAGCACGUGAAGAAGAGGAAUUUAUUUCCACAUGGGCUGAGCUUCCUCUCUUGCUGUGCAGCUCCCUGAAGCAGAACCAUCCAAGGGAAGUUCCACUUCUAGGCAGUUCCACACACUGAACAUCCCAAUGGAGAAGAUCCACCUGGAUCAUUGCUUUUCCAGCUCUUCAUGGACCUGCUCUCCACUAAUCCCUUCCAUUGCUUUAAUUUCCAACUUCUUGGAAAGACUCUUGAAGCUGCAUCAACCUUUUAAAACCUUUUUGUGGUCUCAAGUUGAUCCCAAAACCUGCAGGAAUCCAUAGUGGGACCUCAACUUUGUGAGGACAUCAGGGGUCUUUGGAUCAGACUAAAAUAAGGAAGUGUUUUAUUCCAUUUAUUCUAUUUUAUUCCAUAUUGGAAUGCUGGGCAAUUCCCAGCACUGCUGAACUUUAAAUCCCAAUAAUCUGCUCUUGGAAGCCUGGAAUACAUAGCAAGGUAAGAGCAGCUGCAGCUGGAAUUGUAAAUUAUAUAUUAAAAAAAUGAUGUGUCCUUGUGUAUUCCUAAUGCCAAGACUUAAAAAUGGGUGGAAUUCUGUUUUUUUUGGGGCAUGGCAGAUGUUAAAAAGCAGAAAGGGAUUGCUGGGUUUGAGCAGGAAAUUCCCACCUUGCUAUCCCUGGAGCAGGAAUUUUGGUUAGAGCUGGAUCAGCCCCUGGGUGGGUAAAGAAAUGGUUUUAUUUCUCUAAAAAUCCUUGAUCCUUCCAUUAAUCCAGCUCUGGCCUCCCUACAGCAGGAAAUGCAAGGAGCUGCUUCAUUCUCAUUUUUUUAUAAUUUUAAUAAACUAUGGAAUAGCUGGAAUAAUAAACUGGAGUUUUUUGAGGAGCUGGAAUUGCUGAUGAGCCUGAGAGAAAGCAGCAUUGGGCUAUUUUUCCAAAAUAGGGUUUUGGGAAGUAGGAACACAGCCUAAUUAUGGGAUUUUAGCAAAAUUUCCCAUCAGAAUUGGUUCAUGGGGUGCCUGGGAUGUGCUGGACAAGCACUGGAUGUGGAAGGAUUUGAGGUCAAAUAAAUCCCCCCUAAAUGAGGAACCCCCAAAUUGAGGAACUUCACUAAACUAACAACCCCCUCUAAUUUAAAGGCGUAAAUUGAGGAUGCUCCCCAGAGCACACCCUAAAUUGAGGACCUCCCCAAUAUUAAGAACAUCCCCAAAUUGAGGAUCCCCCUUUAAAUUAAGGAUCCCCCAAAUAAGGGACUUCCCCCAGAGAACCCCCUUAAAUUGUAGCCCCCACUAACGAGAGCACCCCCCC